rnacentral:misc_RNA from 1 species
GAGCUUGUUUUAACUGUGGAGGCACGGGCCAUCUUGUUAAGGACUGCACUAGUGCCCGUAGAUUUGGGCCAGCUCCUACCACUACAGAAAGAUCCAUUCAAAGUUCUGCUACCAGAGGUUCACAACCGGUUAACAGAGGUUGAGGCAGAGGUCGGGGCAGUACUUCUGACAGUUAGGGUACAGUAAACUAGUCAAAGCAAAGU